CUGUGUGCAAUUCUGGUCUC
rnacentral:miRNA from 1 species